UCCCAUAUUGUCUAGUGGUUAGGAUACCCGGCUCUCACCCGGGAGGCCCGGGUUCAAUUCCCGGUAUGGGAA
ensembl:tRNA tRNA:Glu-CTC-2-1 transfer RNA:Glutamic acid-CTC 2-1